AUUGAACGCUGGCGGCAGGCUUAACACAUGCAAGUCGAGCGGGGUGAUGGUGCUUGCACUAUCACCUAGCGGCGGACGGGUGAGUAAUGCUUAGGAAUCUGCCUAUUAGUGGGGGACAACAUCUCGAAAGGGAUGCUAAUACCGCAUACGUCCUACGGGAGAAAGCAGGGGAUCACUUGUGACCUUGCGCUAAUAGAUGAGCCUAAGUCGGAUUAGCUAGUUGGUGGGGUAAAGGCCCACCAAGGCGACGAUCUGUAGCGGGUCUGAGAGGAUGAUCCGCCACACUGGGACUGAGACACGGCCCAGACUCCUACGGGAGGCAGCAGUGGGGAAUAUUGGACAAUGGGGGGAACCCUGAUCCAGCCAUGCCGCGUGUGUGAAGAAGGCCUUAUGGUUGUAAAGCACUUUAAGCGAGGAGGAGGCUCUUUUGGUUAAUACCCAAGAUGAGUGGACGUUACUCGCAGAAUAAGCACCGGCUAACUCUGUGCCAGCUGCCGCAGUAA
rnacentral:rRNA from 1 species